rnacentral:rRNA from 1 species
AUUGAACGCUGGCGGCAGGCCUAACACAUGCAAGUCGAGCGGAUGAAGGGAGCUUGCUCCUGGAUUCAGCGGCGGACGGGUGAGUAAUGCCUAGGAAUCUGCCUGGUAGUGGGGGAUAACGUCCGGAAACGGGCGCUAAUACCGCAUACGUCCUGAGGGAGAAAGUGGGGGAUCUUCGGACCUCACGCUAUCAGAUGAGCCUAGGUCGGAUUAGCUAGUUGGUGGGGUAAAGGCCUACCAAGGCGACGAUCCGUAACUGGUCUGGGAGGAUGAUCAGUCACACUGGAACUGAGACAGGGUCCAGACUCCUACGGGAGGCAGCAGUGUGGAAUAUUGGACAAUGGGCGAAAGCCUGAUCCAGCCAUGCCGCGUGUGUGAAGAAGGUCUUCGGAUUGUAAAGCACUUUAAGUUGGGAGGAAGGGCAGUAAGUUAAUACCUUGCUGUUUUGACGUGACCAACAGAAUAAGCACCGGCUAACUUCGUG